CAACUCGAGGAUGAAAACAGCGAAGAAGCGGAACAACGUUGGGUAUCCACAACAACCGUUGCUGCUAGCUAAGCUAACGGUUGCUAAGCAAUCAACUGAUUUGCGAACACCUGGAAGGAGCGCCAUCUUUAAGGCGAAUUUUUACCAACAUGGACGUAUUUUUUAAAGCUUCAAGAUUAAACUAACACCGCAGUGACUCAUGUCGAAGGAAACGUAUUCGGUCUUUUGGAUUAUUCUGCCCAGAGGGAAGUCGAGAAUAAACACCUGGUGUAAGGUGCUGCUUCACAGGAGGACAAGCUCUGAAGAUGCUGACAUGAUGGUCUGAAACGACAUGAGGUAUGUGACACUACGUACAACAUCACUGGUGGAAGGUUACGUCAAUGGAUUUGGUAGCAUUGUCAUUUUUAGGUGACAAUCUGUGACUUAGAACUAUUUAAAAGAUGUUUAUUUUCUCAGUUUGGGCUAUCCUCUCGGUAAAGGGGGAUCCCACACACCCAGUUCUUUGGGUUUGUUUACAUGGACGCUCUCUGUAUUCCAAUUAUAAACAAUUAUCAGUAAAAAUGCCUCAUUUAACCACCUGAAUCAAAGCAGACAAGUGUUCUAUCUGAUUGAAAGCGUUGGUGUAAAUCUUUGAUAAUCCUUCAAUAGGAAAAUGUUAGUGCUUAACAACCAUGUAAUCACAAUCUGAUUGUUUUUCUCUGGUAGGAAUAAAUCCAUUCUUUCUGCACAUGUUUGCCCCACAGGGGGUAAACAUUGACUGAUUUGGCAACUUUCUUGGAGGGAUAUAAACAUGGAGGUAACAGGAUUAUUUGUUCAAUCAAGCGGCAGAGAAGUGAUUUUCUGAUUGAUUUUUUUUUGAGUCCAGUUACGUUGACAUUGUCCAUGUAAACUUAGCCAUAACUGAGGUCCUGAAAAAACAGCAGCAUUUAGGUAUUUGAAACAAGCCCCCAAUAUUCUGACCAGACUCUGGUUCUACCAACAUUCUUGUUUCAGCUGAACUUUUGGUUUGUUGUUGCUCUUAGACUUUGACCAUCAAGACACGAUGGCUGUAACUCCAAAACUAGGUGUGGUGGAAUACAAAAAAAGGCAAUAACUCACGACAAUUUAUUCUCAUAAAUAUGGUUGUACAAGUCAUAUUUUAUUUCAUGUGCUUUACAAGGAUAUAAAUAAUGGCCAAAAUUACAAAAAUCAGUGUGCUGGAAGCCCAAGCCUAUGUACAUUAGUUGGUCAGCAGUGAUGUCACCAAAUAAUCCAUGUUAAUUUUCACUUAAAAUACAAUCUCUACAACCUACCACUUCUUUUUAAAUUUCCAACCUUUAUCUUGGUACCUUGUUUCCAGUGCCAUUUCCUGCAAAUCCUUUAUUCUUUUCUCUUUUACAUUACAUGUAUGAACAAUGAAUUGGCAAAAUAUCUAUGUACAUUUUAUAAUUGGACAAUGUCUCAUCCAAAUAAUACAGUAAUACUGCGUUUAAAAUAGUACAUCUGCUAGAUAAGAGUAGAGCCCCAUGAGAACUGAUGGAGGGUUGACCUGACCUAAGAGUUAGCGAGCCACCUGCAACAUUCACUCUAGUUUUUUUCUUCUUUUUUUAAAGGAUUGCCCGAGGUUUUCAUCUCAGCAUAUCAUAGAAAAAUAAUGUAACAUUAAGACAACAGUAGACAAGAAUUGCACAAGAAUAAUCAUAAUCAUCAUGGUAAUAUAAUACUCUCAUAUUAAACAUUAAAAUGUCGGGCAAUACGAAUAGAAUACUCUUUUUUCUUUUAUUUAUUUUUUUUAAAACGCUAGAUGCUAUUUUGUUCACAUAGGUUCAUCAUCCGUUAAGAGACACCUGUUGCAUCUUGAGCGUGUUGCAGCUAGUCCAAUCACAUUUACACGCUUGUGCAUAUAUCGCUGUAUUAUUUUCUGACGUUAAAGGAAAAUAAAAAGAACCAAAAGAGCCAGCCAGACAUCCUGGAACCCAUGCCAACACAGACACAUGCCCAAUGGUGCCUUCAGUGAGCCCACUGCCUGUUGCCAACAGAUGCCCUGAAACCACACUUAACGUCUCCAUGGAGAUGCUGACCUCCCAAAAGUCAUGCCUGCCUUGGGCGCAUAAAACACAUGUAGUUGCAGAAAGUUGAGGCUGCUUUCAAAUAAGAGUACAUUCAGAGCAGACGGUCGUCUGUCAAGAUGCAGUCCUGUUAGUGUGUGUGUUUUAGGAAAUGUCUAUUGGUCCAUUGUUUACUGUGUCAAGCAUCAUGUGGAUGAAUGUUAAAAUUGUGUAGUCAACCUUAAACACUGGAGUAGCAUCCAUAUUUGUAGUCCUUUUGAAAAGUGAGCAACAGGGUCCUUUGUAGUCCUUUUUGCAUUGUAUGUGUGACAAGGUCCAUGUUUAGGGCUGGCUACAUUCUUUGCAUUCCACAGUAAUAGACAUGAGCGUCCGGCAUUGCCCUGCAAAUGAGAUGACAUCACUUAUCGAGAGAGCCCUCACACCCCGCCUCUCCACCGGCCCCCCUGCUCAGCAAAUCCAAAAUGGCCACCAUGCGUCUCACAAGCCACAUGCUAACGUACAAGAUUAUUUUUAUUUUUUUUCCCCCCCAAAAUAAAAUGAAGUUUACGGGCUGGGAAAAAAACUCCACAUGACUAAAAUAAUUCUGAACAUAUGACACAAACAUGUGCUGAGAAAAGGUGGUAGAAAAAUCAAAAAACUCAUCUAAGUCUUCCUGUGUCACAGGUCAUGUUUAAAAUAUAGUUUGUCAAAGAAAUUCACAGGUUUGUUAGUAUCUCCAAAAAAAUAAUCUGAUAUAAAGAAUCAAAAGGUGAAAUACAUUCUAGUAGCCUGCUGGAUGAACCAGUUUGAGUCAAAGUUAGACUAUGCUACAUCACCUCUCCUGUGACUCAGCUCUCCUCUUUGAUUAAAAAAUGUUUAAAAAGUCUGAACUUUCCUCCUGUUGUCGUGUUUAGACAACAUCCCUCCUCUUUGUCAGCUCCCAGACCGGGCUUAACAGACAGCUAAAACACUGUUACGGCUCUUAGCAGUAUUUAAAUCAUUCAAGUUGUCAGGGGCAGUUGGACGGAGGGGCUGAACGGAGGAGAAAAGCGAGGGAUGGAGGCAGCUGGAGGAGAAGAUAAGGAGAGAGACGAAGCAAAUGGUUGCACCCAUCAACGGGAAGAAUAAAAAAAAAAAAAAAAGAAGCUGGAACAGAACAACCGACUGGUUGACUGCUGACUGACCGACAAACAGGAAGUGGAAAAACAGCUGACCAUUCCCCCUACAGGUGGAGACAGAGAAGUGCACCACAGCCCUGGGUUCAAAGGUCAUGCGCCAGCCCUGCAGGCAGGAGGAUGAGGCCCAGGCCAAAGAGGGGGAGAGCAGAAACAAAAGAGAGAAGAAGAGACAACGCAGCGCCAAACGUCAUCAUGCAGUGGACAGGCUCGGCUAACGGGGGCGGGGCGAGAUGUUUUGUUUUUUAUUUUUCAGCCGGUGAGGUGACGCGGCGCCGUGCGUCGCUCGUGCCCAACUCCGGGGCGGGGCCCCGAUACAGGGAAACCUCUGAAA